UACGAAGGGGGCUAGCGUUGCUCGGAAUCACUGGGCGUAAAGGGUGCGUAGGCGGGUCUUUUAAGUCAGGGGUGAAAUCCUGGAGCUCAACUCCAGAACUGCCUUUGAUACUGAAGAUCUUGAGUCCGGGAGAGGUGAGUGGAACUGCGAGUGUAGAGGUGAAAUUCGUAGAUAUUCGCAAGAACACCAGUGGCGAAGGCGGCUCACUGGCCCGGUACUGACGCUGAGGCACGAAAGCGU
rnacentral:rRNA from 1 species